UUGUGUCCAGAAGUCUGUGGCUCUCUGGCUUUUUUACUUGGCUGGCUGCAGUUUCAUGGCUCUGACCUCAGAUCUCUAGCUGUCUCACUGUCAGAGUACCUCACUUCCCAGUUGCCUCUCCUCUGUCUUUUCUGACUGAGCCUUUUUAAGAACUACACUUUUUUUUUGUCUGACCCUUUCCUCCUGACCUAAUGACCUCAGUGCUAUCCUAGAUGACCACUUCUCACCCAAGAUCCCAUAACAUUUCGAAGCUGGAUGAGAUGGUUCCCUGCUUGCUAAGAUGAGCUCCAGAACCCCGUGGAAACAAAUUUGAUGAUCAAUGAUGAAAUGAAGGCGGUUCUGGAAAGUGCUCAGUCCACCCCAGUAUCUUCACCUGAGCAUUCUACUUUGUUGACUGGAUCUGGAUCAUCAAGGGCUGAGGAAGUUCUUCAGGCAGAAUGAGGAAGAUACAUAGAUGAACUAUCUGGAUAAGGAAAAGAGGAAGAACAUUUGAGACAAAUGGAUAGCUGGCAUGAAGUUUCCUCUUCUCCAGAACUAAGGGCUGCCACCUGUUCAGAGAACAAGUUCACUCUGGCUGGAAGUACAACACCUGGUCCCCUUUCCUUUGGGACCUGUCCUGGAAGACAUGUCUGCAGAGCUGAGUGAGGCUCCCUGCCCCGGCUGCUGUCCUGGCUUGCAGGAUCUGGGAACACAUACCCAGAAACAACUCCCCAUGCAUGUGCCUUGCCUUUCCUCACAUGCUUCCCAGAGAGCACAUAACAUACUUCAAGAAAACCAAAGAAAGAAAAAAUUGCCCUAAGAGUUCCGGAAUUGACCUCUGGCUACAAAGAGCACUGUGACUGGCUUACAAAGUUAUAAGAUUCUCUGACGAAACUCUUUGUGACCCAGAGCAACUACUUAAGAGUCUGUUACAAGGUGUACAGUGUAUUCUCUCUGUGAGCUUACAUCUGUGGGCUCCACAAAGGGCAUGCAUGCCAAAAGCCUGGGUACGUGGUAGUUCCCAGUGACUGAAUCUUUGCCCAUUGGAAAAGUGAGGAACAGAAGAAAAGUCAGGCAAAUAGUCUAUGAGCUGGCUAGGUUUGUGUGUCCAUCAUCCUCUUGGGUGAAAGGCCAAAGGAAUGAGGGACAUGUCCCAAGAAGUAUGGUUGGAGCCAUGCCACAAAGUCAUACAGCCUCUUGGUGCACUGCUCUGUGCAUCUCCAAGACUCAGUCAGUAUUACAUUGACUGAUUCACUUGGUUUGCCCCCACCAAGAUUCCCUAACACAGUGAAAGUGAACACAUGCCUUCCCUAGACUGGCUUCAUUAUGGACUGGAGGUUUGACUUAGUAGUCACCUACAGCCCAAAUCUGCUCUGUUCUUGUUUCCCAUGGCAGGAUUGUGGGACUCACUUGAUGGUCAUGAUUGUAGAUCGUGAUGCACAGUGCAGUGAUUGGCUCACAACAGCUCAGCCUUCUUGCCACAUGGGAGCUUCCUUCAAUAUGACUUGGUGCUCAACCACAUUCUGGGCCAACAGAUGCCAGGCCUUUCCCCAAAGCACAGCUUUGUUAGUCUCUCAGCCAUCUUUUGGUCUUCAAUAAGGAAAUACCAAUGGUACCUGGCUGUCUUGGAGGCUGACUGCAGCUGCCCCAUGUUUCCCUACUCUAAACUCAGACCAUUGUCAAGUCAAGAGCACAGAUCAGAACCUUGUCUUCUACCACGAGCCAGUACUGAAGUCAAUAAAUAUCCUGUCAGCAGUGUGGCCACAG
rnacentral:lncRNA from 1 species